CUUGGCAGCCUCCUUCCCGGACGUUUGUAGGAUCCACUUUGGAGGCAGAGAGGAAGGCAGGGAAGUACUAAACCCAAAUCUUGCUGUGGGAACUCUUAGGGCGCGUUCUGCUACUUGCUCCUAUGUUAGCGAAGCACUGCUCUCCGGCUCUCCUGAAAGACAACAUAAAAUCUCUCCAGACAGGCACCAGUUGUUGGACGAGGGUGGCUAAGGUGCCUGGUACGGAUUGCUAGCUAAAAGAGGCGUUUUAACCUUCUUCCCUACUCACACGAUCUCCAGCAUGUGGGGGAAGUCAGCAGCUGGAAGCCUCCACUGGCAACUGGCCCAUCAAAAUUCAUUAAGAACACCAAGAGAAAGGUCAAGUGAAGUGAAGCCGGGGCCUUCAAGCCACCUCCACUGUUCAUUCUGUGUUCAGGCCAGCCAAUGCAAACAACAUUUAUUCCUGCAGACUCCAAACAGUCUUGGAAGGAGCAAAGAAGCUGACAAUAUAGUACCGUAUACCAUCAACUACUUACUGCUCACCAGUUUAACGUACCGAAACACUUACUGCUCAGAACUGAUUGUUACUGUCUAAUCUGAAGGUCAGUAUUAGGAGAAAAAUUAUCACCUUUAGAAUGGAAAUAGAAAGACUGUACAGACAAGUUAUGAAGAAUACACAGAGGAGUUCUAGAAUUUUCACAGAAACACAGAUGUGCGUUGCCUUUCUCUCCCUUAAAAAAAAAAGAAAAAAAGAAAAAACCCCACUCUUUCCAAGGGAGUGUGAUAAAGAUACUUUAAAGAUGAUGUAUGAAUUCAAUCUGAAAUAGUACUACUGCUGGAAGAUUCGUGCAGGAGUGCACUGAAAUCACACAGAAAUGUGCACACAAUAGAAGACUGAUCUGAUAGACUUUUAAUUCUUUGUAAUGUCUUAAUGGUGCCAGUUAGAUUAACAGUGGACACCACUACUGAGGACUCACUAUGGAGCAUAUGUUGUGUUGAAUUAUGUUAAUUUUCACCGAAAUCCUAAAAGCACUGUACAGAUGUCGACCAGGGACAGAGAAGUUAGGUUAGCCAUGGGCCAGCAGCAAGCUGCUGUUGGGCAACAGCUGUCUCGGAUUUUUAGCAGUCAGAUUUAUCCAUGCGCAUUACAUACAGAGAGGUGAUUUCUUUCUUUUAGUUUUUUUUAAUUUAUAUAUGUUUGUGUCUAUGUGAAUGAAUGUCAUGUGUCUUGGUACCUAUAGAAACCAGAAGAGGUUGUCAGAUCCCCUGGAACUGGAGUUAAGCAGGCAGUUAAGAAGUUUGAACUGAACUCAGGUCCUCUGGAAGAAGAGUGAGCACUUUUAACCAUGAAGUCAAUCAAUCCAGCAUCUGAGUUCUUCCAUAACAUUCACUCUAGCACAAAUGCCUAGAUGCUAAUACAGCAGCUGUUCUCAGGAAUCCAAUGGUCAGUGUUACUAAAUUUCAUCAGGCAGGACCAUAAACCUGAGUAAUUUUAAAAUUGAUCAAAGGGCACAGAGGAUGAUUUCCUGAAAACAUACACCUGCUGGGAGCUGAGUGUGUGUCCCUAAGGUCAGACUUAAUUGCAGUUAGACCUAGAUGAACUCUGACACGUUGAUUAGUCACUGCUUGAAAGUGGGAGGUCAACAUGGUGCAUUUUCUUCCACCUCCAGAGUGGUUUUGAAAAGUCCCCAUUGAGGACUCUCUUUUAUGUAGAUCUCUGGUAUGUGAGUCCUGACCCCAUCCCCAGGGCAGAUCUUCUCACUGAGUGUACACCUGAAUCUUCUAGAAUCAGUGCAAUAAUGGAAGUGGAGAGCCCAACAAAGCCCCAAACAAUAUAUUGGAGACAUGUGGUCAAGAAUUCUCACAACUGUUUUCUUCUACGGAAUUUGUGGGAGGGGUGUAGGCCAUCUUCAGAACUGAUGGGAAUACUAAGAUAAAUAAAUUAAUGGAUCUGUAGAUUUUUGUUGUUGUUUUACCUCAUUAAUUCUCACAGUGGUGAGAAAACACUUGUGAGAGUCAGUUUUCUCUUUCCACCAUGUGGGGCCGGGGCUUGGACUCAGGCUGUCAGAAGUGGCCAUAGGGGCCUAUUACCUGCUGAGCCAUUUUGCUGGUACUGACACAAAUAUAGUUCUUAUACCCAUUUUAUUAAAUAAAUAAUCAAAGCAGAACAUGAAACAGAAAAAUAAUGAAAAUGUUUCUUUAAUAUCAUGCCAGAAAGUGUUAUUUAAAACCCAGUUCUGCCUGAUGCAGCCAGCAUUCUGAGAGGAUGGCCAAGCCAAGAUCGUACAAGUAGGUUAGACAUUAAGGGUACCCACUGGGAAGAUUUGUAUGCACAAAUUGGAUCCUAGGUUGAGAAGUGGAGAAAGGAAAGGAUGCAGUGUGCCUGACAUCUAAGAUUGUAGGAGGGCUAUGAUUUGGAUGGUGCAGGAGGCAUAAGAAAUCAAAUCAUUUUAGGGGUAGAAUAAGGUAGAAAGAGAAAUUCGAAGUAUUUGAGGGGAUGUUCUUUGAAUUUGGAGCUGGACCAGGUGAUGAAGCUAGACAUAAUCUGUGGAUAUGCAGCAGUAGGGAAACUAGGACCUGGAACACCAAAAACUAAAAUGGAGCCAGGGAAGUGGAGAGGGUAUAGUACUCUAGGAAUACUGGAAGAUUUUGUUCACGAAGGAAAUACAGCAAACUGACCUCUAAAACACAGCAAGCUAUAUGUCUCCUGUGUACAGUGAUGUCUUUGAUAGAAACAGUUCUUAGAUAACUUGAUUUCACUCCAUAGGCUUGUUAGAGCCUCUCUUAUUUGUUAAGUUUGUGUGUGAAUGAAUACUUUGCUUCCCAAGUACUGCUGCGUGUCCACAGCAGGUGUUGCUGGAUGCUCCAAGUUUUCACACUCUGAUUCUGAACUGGUGCAGCAUGGCAGGUCUGUCUGGCAGGAAACACAGCAUUAGCUUUGGGAUUCCAGUGAGGAUGAUGUAAAGUGAAUGGCCACUGUGUCAAGACUGGAAAAUGUAGGGUGGAAACGUGUUUUCAGGAUGGGAUGGAAUCAAUUAGAGAGACUAACACAGUGCAAGCCAAGUGUUGAUUGUAUUGAAUGAAAUGGAAAAAGACAAGCCUGUACUCUAAAAGGAAACAGAAUGGGAAAUGUGGACGAGAUCUUCAAAGAUAAUAGUUCCCAUUUGGCAACCUUCAUCUUUCCGGAUGCACUAAAUGUUUCACUUAGGCAUUACUGUGUAGCACAGCUCUGUGAGGAAUGGAAUGCUACCCUAGAUGAGGAUCUGGGCUAUCCAUUGCCUAUGUGCUUGGGACUGAAGGAUUCCUGGGACAGGCGACUUUGUGUGCUAAUAUGGAAGUAUCUCAGACAAAACAGGACGUUUCAGUCUCUGAGAGUCUCUAAGGGUCAUGAUGUUUUAAGUAAAGGAGAAAAACCCAAGGUUCUCUCAUGUUACUAUCUGUGUCUUCCCAGACACUGCCUCCCUUUUUACAGAUCCUAACCUUACCAAUACCAAUGUGUGUGCUUUCUAUAAACCUAAACAUGGAGAUGACUUCAUUUUCUCUUUCACUCUCUUGUUAUGUUUACAGCUAGUAUCUGUCUAUGACCUAGCAGACUGACAGCAUCUUUCAACACAGGAAACACAUUUUCAUGAUAAAGCCUUUUGCAUUUCAUUAUUUUGGUUAUAUUCUCAAUAGUGAGUGGUAGGAAAGAACUUCCAAACAGGUUGUGUAGAUAAGCAAAUAACAGAUAAAGAAAAUGAAGUGAAAAACUUAAGUCCAGGUGUUCUGUACAUAGGCCAAGCACAGUGAUAUUUGGGAACAUCUGGAGAAGUGAUUGAGAUUUUAAAUAUUCAUGUGUAUGUCCAGUGUCAUAUAAUCACAGGCCCAAGAACACAUGGAAAGAUGGGCAUAAUGGCAUUUCACUAACUAUGUAAUUGCCACAAGGAACCUUUUCAUAAUGCUAAUGUCUGUAGACAGAAUGAAGACUCACCUUGCUGGCCUUCACUGUAACAUCAAUUAUAUUUUACAGCACAUGGUUAUUCUGUUCCAAGACUAUAUUUUGACCCAGAUAACCAUGUAGAUAUUAUGGAUUUUGAAAACGUUUGCUUUAUAGCUUUAAUUUGUGUUGGCUAAAUGCAGUCAAAAAGAAUGAGGGAAUUUACUGGAUUCCCCAGGUUUUCUUAAGUAAACAAACCAAUAUUAUUGAAAAUGUGUGAAUCACAUAAUUCAAAAUUUUAAAUGAUGUCACAUUCUAACUAAAUAUAGUCUCUGUACUCAAUUCACCCUGCAAUCAGCACUCCACCCCCAUUUGCCUGUUGUGUGAAGCAGCUGCUUUAUCUACAUUUUGCCAAGUAAACAGACUCUGUGCACUGUGCAAUGGUGUUUGUUGUUUGCUAAUAUGCCAGUGGUUAAAAAUGCUUACAAACUGUAAUUAUACAUCUUCAUAUAAUGCAGAGGUAGUAUGUGGGUGUGCUUUAUUACUUGGAGAUACACACAUAUAAACUACACUUGUGUUUCAUCUGGUUCAUAGUAGUUAUUCAAUAAAUGUUUUGUAAAUGCCUUAAAAGCAGUGUGUAUUUGUCAAUGCCUUAAAAUGUACUAGAUGCUGAAGUAAGUGCAUUCAUGAUGGUUAAUCUCAGAUUUCAACUUGAUUAUCUCUAGAAUCACCUGGAAGAUGGGCACCAGAGCAUGCUUGUGGUAAAUUAACUUGAUUAGGUCACUUGAGAUGAAAAGAGUUGGCCACUGUGAAUACAGUACCUGGACUUGGACUGCAUAGGAGAGGUUGAGCUAUCUGGACACUAGCAUUCAUCGAUCUCUGCUUCCUGAUUAUGGAUGUAAUGUUACCACCUGUGUCCAGCUUCUGUUACCUGCCAUAUGGUUUAACCUCAAACCAAAAUAAACCAUUUCUCCCUUAACUUAUUUUUGUCAUGGUGUUUUAUCACAGCAUUAGUAAAAAACUUAAUAAAAGUAACUCUACUGAACCCAUAAAAUAACUAGUGAAGCAAUUUUUUUCUAUU